rnacentral:rRNA from 1 species
ACGAACUGUGCGAACGUUAUUCGGAAUCACUGGGCUUAAAGGGUGCGUAGGCGGCGAUAUAGGUCAGGUGUGAAAUCCCACGGCUCAACCGUGGAACUGCGCUUGAAACCAUAUUGCUUGAGGGAGUCAGAGGUAAGCGGAACUGAUGGUGGAGCGGUGAAAUGCGUUGAUAUUAUCAGGAACACCGGUGGCGAAAGCGGCUUACUGGGACUUUUCUGACGCUGAGGCACGAAAGCCAGGGGAGCGAACGGG